UCAUGAUCUCAUGCCAUAUAUGACAACCGAUAUCCAUCCUCACUCAAUUGUUUCUGCUUGAGCACCGACCCCCAC